rnacentral:rRNA from 1 species
AUGCUUGUGAACUGUACAGAUUGGUGUUGCAUUUGGCCAAGUGAGCUCCCAUCGCCAUACUACGGCAUCAUGGCCACCUCCUUGCGGUCGUUUGCUGGUUGCCUCUUGCUGCACGAAGUGGUUCCACUUGUCUCGGAGGAGGUAGACCAGCGCUACCACCAACACCUAGGCGGCGAGGAGAAUCGUCCAAGGCCUGAAGCUCAUGCCAGUCCUCGCCAGCAUCCGCAGCCAUUGCACCAGGUACCCCUUGCCUUGAAGCCCCUGAAGAAAUUAUUAAGACUACAUGUUGAAGCACCAUAA